AUUGAACGCUGGCGGCAGGCUUAACACAUGCAAGUCGAACGGUAGCAGGAAGAAAGCUUGCUUUCUUUGCUGACGAGUGGCGGACGGGUGAGUAAUGCUUGGGAAUCUGGCUUAUGGAGGGGGAUAACUGUGGGAAACUGCAGCUAAUACCGCGUAAUCUCUGAGGAGUAAAGGGUGGGACCUCUUGGCCACCUGCCAUAAGAUGAGCCCAAGUGGGAUUAGGUAGUUGGUGGGGUAAAGGCCUACCAAGCCUGCGAUCUCUAGCUGGUCUGAGAGGAUGACCAGCCACACUGGAACUGAGACACGGUCCAGACUCCUACGGGAGGCAGCAGUGGGGAAUAUUGCGCAAUGGGGGGAACCCUGACGCAGCCAUGCCGCGUGAAUGAAGAAGGCCUUCGGGUUGUAAAGUUCUUUCGGUAAUGAGGAAGGGAUGUURUUWAAUAGAURGCAUCAUUGACGUUAAUUACAGAAGAAGCACCGGCUAACUCCGUGCCAGCAGCCGCGGUAAUACGGAGGGUGCGAGCGUUAAUCGGAAUAACUGGGCGUAAAGGGCACGCAGGCGGACUUUUAAGUGAGAUGUGAAAUCCCCGAGCUUAACUUGGGAAUUGCAUUUCAGACUGGGAGUCUAGAGUACUUUAGGGAGGGGUAGAAUUCCACGUGUAGCGGUGAAAUGCGUAGAGAUGUGGAGGAAUACCGAAGGCGAAGGCAGCCCCUUGGGAAUGUACUGACGCUCAUGUGCGAAAGCGUGGGGAGCAAACAGGAUUAGAUACCCUGGUAGUCCACGCUGUAAACGCUGUCGAUUUGGGGAUUGGGCUAUAUGCUUGGUGCCCGAAGCUAACGUGAUAAAUCGACCGCCUGGGGAGUACGGCCGCAAGGUUAAAACUCAAAUGAAUUGACGGGGGCCCGCACAAGCGGUGGAGCAUGUGGUUUAAUUCGAUGCAACGCGAAGAACCUUACCUACUCUUGACAUCCAGAGAAGCUUGCAGAGAUGCGAGUGUGCCUUCGGGAGCUCUGAGACAGGUGCUGCAUGGCUGUCGUCAGCUCGUGUUGUGAAAUGUUGGGUUAAGUCCCGCAACGAGCGC
rnacentral:rRNA from 1 species